UAGGGAAUCUUCGGCAAUGGGGGGAACCCUGACCGAGCAACGCCGCGUGAGUGAAGAAGGUUUUCGGAUCGUAAAGCUCUGUUGUUAAGGAAGAACGAGUGUGAGAUUGGAAAGUUCAUGCUGUGACGGUACUUAACCAGAAAGGGACGGCUAACUACGUGCCAGCAGCCGCGGUAAUACGUAGGUCCCGAGCGUUGUCCGGAUUUAUUGGGCGUAAAGCGAGCGCAGGCGGUUAGAAAAGUCUGAAGUGAAAGGCAGUGGCUCAACCAUUGUAGGCUUUGGAAACUGUUUAACUUGAGUGCAGAAGGGGAGAGUGGAAUUCCAUGUGUAGCGGUGAAAUGCGUAGAUAUAUGGAGGAACACCGGUGGCGAAAGCGGCUCUCUGGUCUGUAACUGACGCUGAGGCUCGAAAGCGUGGGGAGCGAACAGG
rnacentral:rRNA from 1 species